UUUAAAAACUAUUUCAUGCUUAAAGUAUGCAGACCUAUUGUUUAAAUCAGAUUUAUGCUUUAAAAGAGUAAUCACAGCAGCAGUCUGUCCGUUUAAACGUCUGCGUUUAGCUUCAAAUGGCCUCUUUGACGACAGUAUUCUGUAAACAUUAUUUGCAUUCCGAUUCUGACAUUCAAAAGCACAAAAGUAUUUUUUUCUCAAUGCAUUUUACCCGUGUCCCUCCACUUGUUACCAGUGUUACGUCUACUUCAAAUUGAUCUACUACUUGACCAUAUUUGGAUAUGACAAGGAAUGGACCAAUCACAUUGUCCCACCGUAGACCACGCCCACUUGCAUUUAUUCGCUUUUCUCCUGCUUAUUAGAACAUUUGGGUUUCAGACUUCGGAAGGAUCGGGAAGGGUGGUGUGGUUUAUUUAUAAUUGUCUAGACCAUAUGUUUGUUCGGGGGCAUCUGACUGCAGACGAGUUUUAUUUUGUUUUGUAAACGAGGUACAGUGUAUGGAAAGUUCACACAAAGAAACACUGGUUGAAGGAUGGAGCAGCCAACUAACGUUAUAUUGAAUCUGACAGCAGUUGCACGCAAACCGGACCUAAGCAGUGCUGAGAUUCUCCAGGAUCAGUACAGUCUGCUUGGAAGACAAACAGCAGUAUACUGGCGCAGUUUGGCCGCAGGUGGACAAAGAUUGCCAAACUAAUCGGCACUAGGACAGUUCUACAGGCGAAGAGCUAUGCUAGGCAGUGCUUCAAAAAUAAGGUAUGACUUUAGACCAUUUCCACAUCACUAUAUGAAUAUCUAUACGCUUUUGGUUCAGAUGUGUGGUGCUUUAAACUGAAUUCAUAUAUAAGAGAAUAAUUAUAAAUAUAGACAUCAAAGGGGGUAUUUUUAAAAUCCUCAAAAAAAUAGCGUCCUAUAAAAGCAUUCUGAAGGUGUUCACUAACAAUAACAAUGUCAGUAACACCCGAUGUACUUGUUACAUCGUAAGAAGAAUGGCAUCUACGCUAAUAUCAGUCUGUCUCAUUCGUAUUCUGAGGUCACUAUAGCCACCCAGAUCCAGAUCAGAUGGUCACUGCAGUGGCCCGGAUCCAGUCCAGAUGGUGGAUCAGCACCUAGAGACGACCAGGACAACCCUGAAUGUCAGAAGAGAUCAUGUCAACUAGAAGAGUCCCAAAGACAGAUUCCCAGCGAAAGACCUCGUCACCUAUAGGG